rnacentral:rRNA from 1 species
GAGCACGUAGGUGGGUUUGUAAGCCAGGUGUGAAAGCCUUCUGUUCAAAGGAAGAACGGCAUCUGAGACUGCGAAUCUUGAGUGUAGGAGGGGAGAGUGGAACUUCUGGUGGAGCGGUGAAAUGCGUAGAUAUCAGAAGGAACGUCGGCGGCGAAAGCGACUCUCUGGCCUAUUACUGACACUGAGUGUGCGAAAGUUAGGGGAGCAAACGGGAUUAGAUACCCCGGUAGUCCUAACCGUAAACGAUGGGCACUAAGUAGAGGG